rnacentral:misc_RNA from 1 species
GGAUGGAUCAUUACUGUAAAGACUUAAGAACAGCAUAAACCCCUGUUCUUAUGUCGAUCUACACUUUGUGAACUGUUGAUGUCUCUGGCAGUCUCUCUUGUCCUUGUGGCAAGUGGGCUGCCGAUGGGCUUUGCUCAUCACAUCUGUUAACUCUUUGCUAAACUUUUAACGUCUGAAACUCUUCAUAUUAUAAAUGUGAAAACAACUUUUGACAACGGAUCUCUUGGCUCUCGCAACGAUGAAGAACGCAGCGAAAUGCGAUACGUAAUGUGAAUUGCAGAAUUCCGUGAAUCAUCGAAUCUUUGAACGCAUAUUGCGACCUUCUGGUAUUCCAGGAGGUAUGCCUGUUUGAGAAUCGUGACCACCCUCACCUAAAUAUAGGUGGACACUGAGUCUUCCCAUGCUUUAACUAGCUUGGGUGACUUAAAAUGUAGGUAGGCCUUGGAUGGAACACCCAUGGUGACAAAGGCGUGAUAAAACGUCCACUAGGACAAGUAUAUUAACAGCUUUCAGUAACUAUAGGACCAGUGAAAUCCAAAUAGCCUGCAACGCAGGAAACUGGAGCAAUUUACUUUGCUUCUGUGAACUGAAUCUCAAAUCAGGCAAGACUACCCGCUGAACUUAAGCAUAUCAAUAAGCGGAGGAAAAGAAACUAACAAGGAUUCCCCUAGUAACUGCGAGUGAAGCGGGAACAGCUCAAAUUUGAAAUCUCCAGGGUCCCCCUGGCGAAUUGUAGUUUAGAGAAGCGUUUUCGGCGACGGUCUUGGUUCAAGUCCCUUGGAACAGGGUGUCAUAGAGGGUGAGAACCCCGUUAAACCUUGAUUUGUUGCUAUGUGAUACGCUUUCCAAGAGUCGGGUUGUUUGGGAUUGCAGCCCAAAAUGGGAGGUAAAUUUCUUCUAAAGCUAAAUAUUGGCGAGAGACCGAUAGCGAACAAGUACCGUGAGGGAAAGAUGAAAAGAACUUUGAAAAGAGAGUUAAAUAGUACGUGAAAUUGUCAAAAGGGAAAGGCUUGAAACCAGUCAUGCUGUCUGGUAUUCAGCGGGUCACCCUGACCUGUUUACUUACCAGAUGGCAGGUCAACGUCAGUUUCCUUCGCAGUGAAACACCUUUGGGGAGGUAGCUUGACUUCGGUUGAGUGUUAUAACCCUUGGUUAUGCUGUGUGGGGAGACUGAGGACUGCAGGGCGCAUUGGACUACCCGAGUAAGUGAAUGCUUUUCAGCAGACUGCAUGCAGACUGUUGGAAAGUAUAAGCUUUUCUUGGUUAUGUCUCUCCGUCCCUUAGGACGUUGACGAAAUGGUUUUAAACCACCCGUCUUGAAACACGGACCAAGGAGUCUAACAUAUAUGCGAGUAUUUGGGUGGCAAACCCAUAUGCGUAAUGAAAGUGAUACAGGUGGGAUCUUCGGUGCACCAUCGACCGGUCUGGAUAUUUUAAUUGAUAGAUCUGAGUAAGAGCAUAUCUGUUGGGACCCGAAAGAUGGUGAACUAUGCCUGAAUAGGGCGAAGCCAGAGGAAACUCUGGUGGAGGCUCGUAGCGGUUCUGACGUGCAAAUCGAUCGUCAAAUUUGGGUAUAGGGGCGAAAGACUAAUCGAACUAUCUAGUAGCUGGUUCCCUC